GGAUGGCUCAGUUGGUUAGAGUGCAGUGCUGAUAAUGCCCGGGUUGCAGGUUCGAUCCCUGAAAGGGACA